AGGAAAAAAUGAAACGGGAAGAAAGAAAAAGGGCUUCAUGCAGAGAAGGCAACGUAUGAGAUGCAUGCUUUGAGCAGCCUGCCGGGCCACUAGGCAUUACCUGUUGAUGACCGAGUGGACCGCCACGCUGAUGGACAGAUGGAUGGGAUUGUUGAUGAAUCCCUGGCAGGCUUCCCUGGUGAGCAGAUUUCAAAUGACAAGAGAAAAGAUGGACAGUGAGACAUUUUGCAUUUCUGCCUCAAACUCAUGGUCUUUCCUCCUGGUAGUGAUUAAAAUAAUGCUUCUCC